rnacentral:rRNA from 1 species
AUUGAACGCUGGCGGCAGGCUUAACACAUGCAAGUCGAGCGAGCGGCGGACGGGUGAGUAAUGUCUGGGAAACUGCCUGAUGGAGGGGGAUAACUACUGGAAACGGUAGCUAAUACCGCCUACCCUCCGCUUAGCCCAGAUGGGAUUAGCUAGUAGGUGGGGUAAUGGCUCACCUAGGCGACGACCCCUAGCUGGUCGGAGAGGAUGACCAGCCACACGGGAACUGAGACACGGUCCAGACUCCUACGGGAGGCAGCAGUGGGGAAUAUUGCAAAAGGGGGGCAAGCCUGAGGCAGCCAUGCCGCGGGGGUGAAGAAGGCCUUCGGGUUGUAAAGCACGUUCAGCGAGGAGGCGGUACUCGCAGAAGAAGCACCGGCUAACUCCGUGCCAGCAGCCGCGGUAAUAC